GGUGCAAAAAUAUAAUCCCAGCAAAGGAAGACCUUAAUUACUAGUCAGCGAUGAAUGGGUGAUCCUGUUUCCCAUCAUGGAGCUGCAGAAUCAUAACAUCAAAGUACAACAGUCGUCAGAAGGCAAAAAUUACAGGAUCACUCUAAAGCUAUCCCAUUUUUCUCCUGCAUUUGAGUCCCUGCCAAGAUGUGAUGGUAGCUGACUUUCUUGCUACAGCAAGCUCUGAAUAAAUUACCUUUGCUUGUU